CCUCUCUUAUCGCUCCAAGACUGGUAAAGGCCAUUUUGUACUUGGCAUUUUGUUCUAAGGUGUAAUGUGAUCCUGUUUGUGGAUCAAUAAUUUGUUUAAUUGUGUAUUUCCUGUUUAAAGCUUUUAUCUUUUAGACAUUUUUUUCCUUUUAAGUAAAGGUUGAUAACCUACCUAGUUUUAUGAGCUAUUUUGAGGAUCUAAAUGGUGCUGUACUACAGUCUCAGGAUUUCAAUGGCUUUGCCAUCAAACAGUUUUAUUUGUGGUGUUUCACAGUUUUCUUUAAUGUUUCAAUGAGCACAUUGAUUAUAUAUUUUUUCCUCAAUUACAAAAGUUAGCUUUAUAGAAUGCUAAAUUGGACUUCUGGCUAAAAGUGGAAUUUUAUGGAUAUAUAUGUUUUCUUAGGCCCGCAGAGGAGGUGUUGAUGA
rnacentral:misc_RNA from 1 species